rnacentral:rRNA from 1 species
GUUGUAAGGUUAAGAAAUUAAGCGUACACGGUGGAUGCCUAGGCAUUUAGAGGCGAAGAAGGACGUGUUAAUCUGCGAAAAGCGACGGUGAGCCGAUAAAAGGCGUUAUAGCCGUCGAUGUCCGAAUGGGGAAACCCAGUGUGGGUAACUGCACUAUUGCUUGAUGAAUACAUAGUCAAGUGAGGCGAACCGGGAGAACUGAAACAUCUAAGUACCCCGAGGAAAAGAAAUCAACCGAGAUUCCCCGAGUAGCGGCGAGCGAAAGGGGAGGAGCCCAAAGUGGGAAACAUCAUGAGUUAGUGGAAGCGUCUGGAAAGUCGCACGAUAGAGGGUGAAAGUCCCGUACACGAAGGCACAUGGUGUGGAAGCUUGAAGAGUAGGGCGGGACACGUGAUAUCCUGUCUGAAUAUGGGGGGACCAUCCUCCAAGGCUAAAUACUCCUAAAUGACCGAUAGUGAACCAGUACCGUGAGGGAAAGGCGAAAAGAACCCCGGGAGGGGAGUGAAAUAGACCCUGAAACCGUGUACGUACAAUCAGUGGGAGCGUAUAUCAUUGGAUAUAUGUGACUGCGUACCUUUUGUAUAAUGGGUCAGCGACUUAUAUUCUGUAGCAAGGUUAACCGAAUAGGGGAGCCGAAGGGAAACCGAGUAUUAACUGUGCGAAAAGUUGCAGGGUAUAGACCCGAAACCCGGUGAUCUAGCCAUGGGCAGGUUGAAGGUUGGUUAACACUAACUGGAGGACCGAACCGACUAAUGUUGAAAAAUUAGCGGAUGACCUGUGGCUGGGGGUGAAAGGCCAAUCAAACCGGGAGAUAGCUGGUUCUCCCCGAAAGCUAUUUAGGUAGCGCCUCAUGAGUGACUGUUGGGGGUAGAGCACUGUUUCGGCUAGGGGGCCAUCCCGGCUUACCAACCCGAUGCAAACUCCGA